AUGGGUGAGUGGGUAGGGGUCGGUGGGGCCCCUGGUCUUGGCCAGGCUCCCUCUGACUCUCUCUCCCUCUUCUCCAGUCCCAUCUGUGCCUGCUGGAGGCCACCCUCAGGUACAGGUGGCCAGAGACCACCUGGCAACUCCCAGUGGGCACCCUGGAGGCCGGAGGCCAGCUGGAGGCAGCCAGGCUGGGUGAGAGCACCAGGGACACGCCCUCGCCUGGUUGGGGGAAGAGGCACCCGUGCAGGAGCCUCCCCGGAGCCCGUGGGAGUGGGCUCUGGCCUGCGCCGUCCUCUCUUCUCCUUUUCUGAGCCUGGGGCUGUGGUUUGCGGCUCUGGCAGCUUCCGGACCGGGUCUGGAGGAAGAGGAAGGGCCGUGGUCUGGGAGAGGGCAGCCAGUGUGGAGGGAGACCCAGGACUGAGGUGUGCUCGUGUGAUGUGUGUGUACACAUGGGCAAAUGCCUGUACGUGUGUGCUGCUGCAUGGGUGUGUCCAUGGGUGUGAAUGUCCACGUGUGGAGGUGGGUGCGUGUGCAUGCACAUGUGUGCUUUUGUGUGCACGUGGGUUUGCAUGUGUGAGUGUGCUUGUGUGUAAUGCAUGCAUGGGUGUAUGCAUGUGUGAGUACAUGACUGUGUACACGUGUGCACGUGUGUGCAUGUGUCUGCAUGCAUCUGUGUACAUAGAAAUGCUUGUGUGGGCGUGCCUUGUAUGCACACAUAUGUGCGUGCUUGUGUGCUGUGUGCCUGCAGUGUACAUGUGUGUGUGUGAAUGUGCACAAGCAUGUGUCUGCACGCGUGUGUAUACACACGAACACGUAUAUGGGGGUGCCUGGUGCAUGCAUAUGUGCAUGUGUGUGCACUUGUGUGGUGCAUGGAAGCUGAUCCCCUUCCGUGGCAGUGCUGUCCCUGCCUGUCCUGGGCCCCUGCUGGCUGCUCUGUCCACUCGGUCUGUACACCAAGCACUCCCCUGCGCUGGGUCAGCAUGGGGGCAGCACAGCUGCACGGCUGCCUUCCUGACAGCAAGUCCGGGGGACGGUCCCUCCUGUGGCCCUAAUUCAGUCCCCAGAGAACUGACCGGGAGGAGGGCAAGACAGGCACUCCUGUGUCUGCCUGGCUGCCGGCUCAGGCAUUCCCAAACCUGGGAUGUGGUCCUGUCCUCUUUUGUCUAA
rnacentral:lncRNA from 1 species